GACAACACCAUGGACGGUUUGUACAUCGCUCCUGCCUUCAUGGACAAGCUCGUUGUUCACAUAACCAAGAACUACAUGUCCUUGCCUGGCAUCAAGGUAAAUGUACUUGAUAUCAUAUAGUAUUAAUGUGAAGCAUUAUGUAUGUAACCCGUACUCAUCAUAGUAAUGGCUAAUCGCACUAUCGCAGACUCCGAUAAGUGGAACUGUACUACUUUACGCAGCCACGUGUAAUAAAAAUAAAAUAUUUUCUAAAUAAACAAUUUUAACCUCCACACUAGUACGCAAAGGACAUUCGUAAUUAACUGGUGAGUAUCGAUUUUAUUAAAAUACCUCCUUCAGUACUGAACCAUCUUUUAACAAGAUCCAUCACCUAAGUAGUCUCUGUAAUUGCCGUGCCAUGGAAAGUUGAUAGUUUCCCCCUUAUUGUGUAAUAGGUCCCCCUCAUCCUGGGUGUCUGGGGAGGCAAAGGUCAAGGAAAAUCUUUCCAGUGUGAGCUCGUCUUUGCCAAGAUGGGAAUCAAGUGAGUUUUAUAUAGUUGUUCUUGUUUUCAUAGUUCAAGUUCUCCACAAGAAAAAUGUGGAGGUCGGUUCAUAGGUUGAGUACAAAAACACGAGUCUUGAGUUACUGGGGUUAAUUAUUGAUUGGGUUUUUCAGCCCUAUCAUGAUGAGUGCCGGAGAACUGGAAAGCGGAAAUGCAGGAGAGCCAGCCAAGCUUAUCAGGCAAAGAUACAGGGAAGCAGCUGACAUUAUCAGGAAGGGAAAAAUGUGCUGUCUCUUCAUCAACGAUCUUGAUGCCGGUGCUGGUCGUCUCGGUGGAACUACACAAUACACUGUUAACAACCAGAUGGUUAACGCCACCCUCAUGAACAUUGCUGAUAACCCCACCUGUGUCCAACUCCCCGGUAUGUACAACAAAGAAGAGAACCCCCGUGUGCCCAUCAUUGUCACCGGUAAUGAUUUCUCCACCUUGUAUGCUCCCCUUAUCCGUGAUGGUCGUAUGGAGAAAUUCUACUGGGCACCAACCCGCGACGAUCGUAUUGGUGUCUGCACCGGUAUUUUCCGAGCUGACAAUGUUCCUCAUGAAGAUAUUGUCAAACUUGUCGACACUUUCCCUGGUCAAUCCAUUGGUGAGUUGGGAACUGGAUAUACAUUAAUUAAACUAGGUAGGGCUGGCAUCUUAAUCUCAUUUUCGGUUUGAAAACUGAUAUUGGACGACUGUCGUGCAGAUUUCUUUGGUGCAUUGAGGGCAAGAGUGUACGAUGAUGAAGUGAGGAAGUGGGUUUCCGGUGUUGGAGUGGACAAAGUUGGGAAAAAGCUCGUGAACUCAAGGGAAGGCCCUCCACAGUUCGAGAAGCCUGCCAUGACCUUGGAGAAACUCCUCGAGUACGGCAACAUGCUCGUCCAAGAGCAGGAGAACGUGAAGAGGGUCCAAUUGGCUGACAAGUACUUGAACGAGGCCGCUCUUGGUGAUGCCAACGAGGAUGCUCUUAAGAGUGGAAGUUUCUACGGUUAGCUUUCUUGAUCCUAGCUACAGGCCUUGAUAGGAGGUUUGCUUCUUUUUCUUUAUGCAAAAGGUGAUGAUCAUGUGCAAUUGGAAAACGUAGUAGGAGAAAUUUCUCUCCUAAACAUUGGUUUCCUGUUUUUUGUUUCCCCCUUCUUCUACUCAGGCAAAGCAGCUCAGCAAGUGGGUGUUCCAGUUCCUGAAGGAUGCACUGACCCUAAUGCUAACAACUUUGAUCCCACUGCAAGGAGUGAUGAUGGAAGCUGCUUAUAUACUCUCUAGGCCUUUCGGGGGAAGCAACCAAUUAAUCGACGCAGGAGUAAUUUAUAAGCGCGCAAAGGAGUCAAAAAUAAAUCGUUGUCGCCUCUGUUUCUUUAUGGAUUACCGUCCUGUAAUUUUGUGUCAAAGUAUGUUAUACACUCGUCUCAUCCUCGAAUUCGGAUUUUUGUGUAUUUCUCUCUCUCUUAUUCAAGACUUUUUUUUUUUUUGGGGGGGGAAGCUUAAUGAGGAGGUUUCGUUCAUGUUAAAUCUGCAAGAACUGCAACCAGACCUUUCUCCCCGGUUCCCAGUCAAGACUUAAUCUAAUGUUUGUGUCUGAUUUAUUAAGCAAGAAAGUUCGUCUCCACUCAUGUAUUGCGUUCUUCAGCAUUUUGUUUUCGCUGCUUGUGAAUAAUGAUGAAGAGGGACAGAGUAAAUUUAAGAUUAAAAUUGAUCCGUCAGAGAAUAUCUCGCGGAGAAGGUAGUGUUUUUUUUGAAGGAUGCGGAGAAAGAGUUCAAAACCGGUGCUCCGAAUGUAAGUUCGAAAAUUUCAAUUACUAUUUUGAUAUUUUGAUGAGCUGGCUACUCUAACCUUCUGUCAAAUGAAUACUUCAUCGUUUUGUCAUGUGGCCAAAUUUAAUUUUCUAUUCGAACCAUUAUUAAGUACUUUAGUUUUGGUAGCAAUCAAUUCUAUGUUUGAUUUUUCACCCAAUUAUACUCUUCUCUUUUUUCACUUCUGUAACUAUAGGAACUUUUAAUCAAUCAUUUACUUUUUUUUUUAUUUUAUAUGCGUUUGUAUUAAUUAUGCCUUUCUAAACUUUUUUGUCAGUCACUUCAUAGUAGUAUCUCAAUUUUUUUUUAUUCUUUACCAAUCACCUUUUCUAUUCUUAUUAUUUGGUCUGAUUAGAUAUUAUAAUUACUAAAAUUGAAUAAUUUGAACUCUUUCUAAAAUUCGAUCUCAGUUCCCUAUCUUUUCGCUACGUGCCAAAUUUAAUGUUUUAUUUGAGUAGCUUUUUGAGUAUUUUAUUUUUGGUAACAAUCAAUUCUAUUUUUAUUUUUUCAUGCACUUAUCCUUUUUUUCUUUUUUACUUCCUUAACUAUAGCAACUUUCAAAACUUUAUAGUAUUUUGCUUUUUGACAACAAUCAAAUCUAUCUUUAUUUUUUCACAUGCUUAUUCUCUUUUCCUUUUUUUUUUUUUUUUACUUUCUUAACUAUUGCAAUUCUCAAUCAAUCUUUUAAUUUCAAGCAUCUCAUAAUUUUCUUUUUUUUAAAUAUUUUUUGAUCACAUUUUUUUCCCUUGUUAUUUGGUUUGGUUAUAUAUUACUAAUAGUUUCUUUAUUUUGCAUUUAGCAACACAAUUAAUAUCGCAACAUCAAUUUUGAAAGUCCAAAUGUUUAUUUAAGUAGAUAGAGUAUUUUUUGAUUAACUAUUCAAAUAUAGUUUGAGAAUGAAAAAAGGAUAUAGUAUAUGUACGUGAAACUUAAAAUGAACCAAAUUCUAAACAAGAAUAGAGUUAGGUAAGAAUACUGAACAAAAUAUUGUAACAAUCAACAUAAAGUUAAGGUUAUCAAUCAAACUAAUAGUGAGCAAAUUGUAUCAAAAUUCAAUCUAAAAUUAAUUUAGGAACUAAUAUAGUCUAUUAGACCCGUGCAUAUUUUGGGGCAAUAUUUUUAGUAAGAAGGAAAGAAAUAUCAUAAUGUGUUCAAUAAUAUUUCAUUAUUUUCCCAUGAAAAGAUAAUAAAAUAAAAGAUUAAAAGAAAGAGAGAAAAAAAAGCUGUAUAUUGUUUUCAUUAAUUGAAAAUGUAAAGUUCAAAAAUAAAAUUAUUACUUUCAUUACAUAACUAUGGAAUUUUAUGAACCUCUCAUGGUUGAACAUCCAAAGCCAUGACUUUGUAUUCCUUAGUUUUCUUGGGGAUGAACCUCCCCUACUUUCAACUAAUGGAGAGAAAUUAACCAAAUUUGUCAUAAAUGUACUUCAAUGUCUCCAAAAUGCCCUCAUAAUGACAUAAGCAGAUUUUUUCCCAAAAAAAAAAAAAAAAGAUUACAAUUGUGAAAAUUUGAUGACACUUAAUUCCAUGUGUAGCCAUAAAAUUUGCUAGCCAUCCAAUGAAGACCGGAAGACCCCUAACUUUUACAUAAAAUCAAAGGCGAGAUAAGUGUAAUGUACCCAUUUUAUUAAAUAUCAGCGAUUGGUUAACACGUUUCUAUUAUUCCUUUAUCUUUCAGGCCAGUGGGGUCAUUCCCAAAGUGCAGUGUCCAGUUUUUUGCAGCUUUAGCCAGGCAGAGCAAAAACUGGGUAGAUCACUCAGAGAAAUUUUCCUAUAUUUGGCAAAAGCAGACCGAACUUAGAAAGGCCUCAAAUUGAGAGUAAGAUUUAAGAUUAGGGAGAAUAUUGAUGUGGAUGCAAGAAAACAAUGAGCAUUCUUUGAUUAGGCACCUUGAAAUCGUGGAUAAAACUAGAGAAAGUAUGCAACGCAGAAAAGUAGCAAGAAUCAAAAGCACAGUGGAAUUGCAAAAUUGGAGGGGGAAGCAAAUUAAACUUCAUCUUGCAUGCGCGAUGAUAUUUGUUGAUUGUUUGGAUCAAAAGCACAAUGGGAAGGUUUAAAAUCAAUCAAUGUAGAGAAAAAUGUGACCGGUCGAGCAUGGCGCAGCGCAUGCAGCUGGGGAAUUAAUGCUUCCUGAACACGAUGUUUAUAGUGAAAACAAUUUGGUAAAUGGUUAGGCAAACUCAAAGUUGUCGUGCAGGUGUUAUCUGUGUCCAGAUUCCUGGGUUCUGCAUGUCUUAUUCAAACUGCCUAGUCCAAAAAAUUUCCAGCUUAGUACCUUGCACGUUGCCUGUUUAAGUUAGCACUUAUCCAUUGUUCCUUUCUAACUUUGCUCAACGCACGAAACUUAACCUUAGAAAUAAGGGUAAUAUCAGAAAGGUUUCUCUUAAUAUCACUUGGCACCUAUAAGGUUUCAAAAAUAUCACUUACUUUCUUUACUUUUGUUAUUUGUGUAACAAAAUUUUUAAAAACCUUGAACUACCCUUUCACUUGCUAAAUAAAAAUAUUCCUAAAUCACAUUGUUCACUUCAAGAAAACCAUCACCUCAAAAACAAUCUCUCGUAGUACUAUCACAUUACAAUACUAUACCUCAUAAAAAUAUAAAUUUGAAAAAUAAAAAAAGAAAUUUGAAAAGAAAUUAGUUGCAUCAAUUUAAUUUUAUAUGUUCAAAAUCGAUUCCUAUGAAUUUAUAUUUUUUUUCUAAUAACUUCUCAACCCUUAUUCAAACCAUUAAACUGUACCAAUCAUUAUAAAAAUCAACUCAAAAUAAGCAAAUAAGUCAUACCCCACUUUAUCACAAUCAUAAAAAGUAAAAAAUAAACAAAUUUUAAUUUGUUAUAAUUUACAAAUAAAAUAUUGCAUAGUAAUCCAAAAAAUAUGAGUUGGAGAAAAUGAUGAGAAAAAGGAAAAAAAAAAGAAGAAAAUGACUUUCUUUUUUUUUUUUUAAUUUUUGAGCUCUAUUUAUUUGAUAUAUUAUGAAUUAUGUGUCAAGUGAAGGUUAAUAUAGUCUUUUUACAAUUGUGUGAUAUUUCUAAAAUCUCAAGGUGCUAAGUGACAUUAAGAGAAAUCUCAAGAGAGGUUUCUGAUAUUGUCCCUAGAAAUAAUAAAAAAGCUUCUCACUUUUUUUUUUUUAAUAAGGGAACUCAUAAUCGCUAUCUAAGAGUGUGCACAGGAUAAAUCCAGUUUCAUAUAAUAAUCCGUCAAUCACACGGAGGGAUAAAACACACUAGACAAAUCUUGUGUGGCGGAUAGAUGUUCCAAAAGAGGUUUAAACCUUAAUUGGUAGAAAUAUAUAACGCCAACUCUAUCAUGUCGGCUAACUCAAGAAACAAAAAGCCUCUCACAUUGUUUUGCCUUCACGACGAAACACGUGUCAAGCGUCAAGAUUCUUUCCAAAUUAGAUUUUAACACAAUUUGGGCUUUUUCCCAACCUUGAAUACGAUAGUUCCUGUUAUUUUUUAUUCUACAAUUUGAGAAAGAAUGGUCGAAAAGAAAUUCAAACUGGUUAUGAACAACAUUACAAUAUUUAAACCUGUGUAAAUGAUAUAGCAUAUCUAACUUCUGCCUUUGAAAUGCCAAGAAAGUCGGCCAAAGUAAAGAAGUUUUGUUUAUCCAAAGCAAGCAUUAAUGUUCAUCUCAUCAGCAUCCGGCAACCGCAAAGCUGAAGACGUCAAAUGCGCGCACUUCAAUGGACUGAGACUUUUGUUUUUGGUCGAGCACAGAAGUGAAAUUGCGGAUAAAACUGAAGCUGUUGCUCAAGCCGAAUAAUAUACUAUAUAAUUACACAAAAAAUGGUUUUUAUGGACGUGUUUUCAUUUACUCAUCAAAAGGGAGGAAGAAGGUUAGGGGAUAGAUAAAAAGCUACAUACAGGAUGGCUAUACCAUUAUUUCAAAAAAUUUUGGAUAAUAACUCUCUUCUGGUUUUCGAAUUAUCGUUUGAAAUUGGAAAACAAUGGCAGAAUCCGAUCCAAUAGUUAACCGGUUGAUACUUUGUAGCGCUGUUUUAUAAUUGGUUUUAUUUUAAUUUCAAAAGAAGUGCAAAGCAAAGGGAAAAAGUUACAAUUGGUUUUAUUUUAAUUUCAAAAAAAAUGCAAAGCAAGUUGUGUGGAUAUUAUAUAAUAACGAUAGCAUUUCUUUAAUCUAAUCUGAUAAAAUUAAAAAUUUUAUAGAAAAAAAUCACUAAAAAUAAUCGUAUAUCCCGUAAGAAUUGAUUCGAACACUUCUGUAUAAAAAAUAAAAAUCAUAUAAGAUAACAAUUUGAUAGGAGCCCAGAGUUGAACCUUUGUCCUAGCAAGUUUUUGGCAGCGACCAAUAGGAGAAAGGGCUGGUGGUUGUGAACUUUUUGUAGUCAGCUUAAGAAAGUUGUGUUGAAAUUGGGUAGUCAAUUCAACUUUUUGACUGACGAGGUCAUCAUUUAUAUUAGCACUAUGAAUUAGUGUAUUCGAACUCUUACUUUCGUUCUUAGCACUAUCAUUUACUACAUUCGAAUUCUUACUUUUAUUCCUAAACUUGAAAAGAAACACUUCGAAAAAAAUAUAUAUAUAUUGUAGCAACUUAAUAUAUGUAAAAUAAAAAAUAAGUGCACGAAAAAAGUAAAAUUUUUUUUUAGAAAAAAUGACUUUCCAAACAAAGUCUUAAUUUCUUAAACUAUAAGAUUUGUCACGCUUUGCUUCCUAAAAUAUAGAACUUAUCCACUAUGGUCCCUAAAGUAUGAAAUUUAUUCUAGUUUAAUUCAUAAAAUAUAUUCACUGAGGCAUAAAAUCUGCCUCAAUUUCUUAAUGACAUUACCUAAGUGGAAUAAAUUUUAUAAUUUAGGAACUAAAGUGUUCUAUUUUUAAAUUUAUGAACUAAUGUGGGAAUUUAGGUAUAACUAAAGGGGGCAAAUAAAAAUAACCUCCUAUCAAUUCUAUACUAAUUAAGUAGGUACUAAUAGAGACAGUGGCGGAUCAUUAUUCAUUGGAUGGAGGACUUAAAGUUAAGCGGGAAACUUUAGGCUGUGUUUGGAUUGCUUGUUUCCGUCGAAAAAUAUUGUCGUUUUCCGUGAUCACAUUUCCCUAUCACCUUUUUUCCUCACAUUUAUCAAAUCGUUACAGUAAUUUUUUCAUGAAAAAUGAUGGAAAAUACAAUCCAAACACACCCUUAACCAACUUCGAAGGAGCCCGCUUGCCAGCCAGAUGAGAUUUGGGGAAAAAAAAUAUUUAUAACCUUGUUGUUGUAGGCAGAAAAUCUAAGUAACUUUUUACAAAUUCUGAAAAGAUCCAUGGCAUAAUCAUUCGGGAAAAAGAAAAGAUCUUCAACCCACCAUGUAACAUAAUUGCAAUAACUGUAAAUGAUUUUCCAAAUCUACUUAUUCAAAAUAUGUUAUCAUUUUAAGAUUCCACAUAAAUUUGAAUCUUGAAAAAGAAUAUCAUGAAAACCCAUCGUCUAGUUAAAUGGCACCAUGCUUGGUGAGGAUGGCGAUGCAAAAAAUUCCGUGCGCAUUCAUUCUUUGACUAGGCAGUAGGCACCUUCAAAAUCAAAACUGGAGAAAGUAUGCAAUGCAAAAAAGUCGCCAAGAAUCAAAAGCACAACGGAAUUACAGAUAUAAUAAAGAAAAACAAACAGAACUUUAUUUUGUUUGGAUUGUAUUUUUUUUUUUUGUAGAAAAAUUAUUAGAACGAUUUGAUAUGUGUGAAAUAAAAAAGUGAUUGAAAAAUGUGUUCACGAAAAACAUUGCAAUUUCCAAACAAAGCUUAUAUAUAGUAUUUUAUGCAAUUCGAGACUGAGUAGUUGAAAAGAACAGAGGACAAACAACUUGCUAAAGUAUAGUUAUAAUACACAAUAACAAAGCUUAUUUUCCGACUAGAAAGUCAAGGAAAAGCUGAUAGUUUGUUUAUCUAACCCCAAUAGCGAUUGGUAAUCAUAUUCUUUUGAAAGCAAAACGAAGAAAUUUUAUGUGCUCUGCACUUUUAUUUCAACGCCAGAGUUUGGCUGUCUAAGGAACCCUCCACAUGACGACUUGAUGACUCAAGUCACGCAAAAUUACUCCAAGCUUUUCUAUUUUGGUUGAACAUGAAAAACCCAGGAGAAAAAACGUCAGGUUUGUUUGGACAGUGUAUUAUUUGAAAUAUUUUAUUAUUUAGAAUAAUUACUGUAGUACUUUUUUGUGAUGUGAUGUAUGCGAGAUAAAAAAGUGAUUGAAAAUAUAAAAAGUAAAUUGAAAAAUGUGUUUACGAUGCAAGCGCUUUUUUGCUUUCAAGGAAGAAAAUAAAUGAACCCUCAAAUCGAGCGGUCAAAAAAUGGAGAGCCGACUUCCGGUUAUUUAACAAAUUAAAUGUUAAAACAAUCCACCAAUCUCCCUAUUAUAGAGGACAAAAAAUUUUGAUUAAGACGACUUUUAUAGUUGAUCGUUAUUUGAAGUCUUUAAGGAGUCAGCCAUAUCACGACUGGAACAAUAGUCCUUGCACCGGAACUCUCGAAAUUGUAAUAGUAACAACUUAUUUCAGGGGAGCAGCAGCCAACCCCGAGAAGGUCCACAAAUUUUGAAAGGAGGGUUGGGUGUGAUAGAAUGUAGCAGAAACAGUCAAGCAUCUAUUGAUCAAAAUCAGCUGCCCCCUCUUUCAUGAAACCAUGUCCUUGCACUCCAGGACACUCCAUGUGUUGAAUUGAAGGAAGCUGUGUCGGUCUGACUUGGGCAGGGCCGUCACUAACUCAUUUCAACUCCAAUCUAAUCUUCUUCUUAAAAAGGUACGUAGGCUGGUCUUGGUUGGUCUCGUUAAAAAUAUCAUGCACUUCCAUUUUGAGAUGUCUCGGAAUGUUUAUUGCAUUAUUUUAUAAAAAAAUAAAAUUAUUUUUAAUCUCUUUUUUCGAUAUCAUUUUUAUCUUUAUUUUGUCUCGUUUUUAGAGCUGUUAAUCGAGCCGAGUAUUUGGCUGUCGAGCUCGACUCGAGUUUAAUUCGAGCUGAGCUCGACUCGAGCUCGUUAGGAAAACGAGCUUUAAAAUGUGUUCGAACUCGACUCGUUAAAUGUACAUGUGACUCGAAUUCGAGCUCGAGCUCGAACUUGACUCGUUUAUCAUAAACGAGUCGAGUUUCACGAGCUUGAGCUAACAAACCAGUCGAGUUUCACGAGCUCGAGCUCGAACUUGACUCGUUUAUCACAAACGAGUCGAGUUUCACGAGUUCGAGCUAACAAACCAGUCGAGUUUCACGAGCUCGUGCAAAUUAACCUUAAUAAAAACCUAUAAUUUUUAAUUUUUAUAAUUUUGAUUUCUAAAAUGACAAAUAUGCCCUUCAUUAACGAGUUUUAACGAGCUACUCGAGUAUCAAACGAGCCGAGUAAGCUCGGUUCGUUAACUAAACGAGCAUGUUUCGAGUUCGAGCUCGACUCGUUAACCAAAAUUAACGAGUCGAGCUUGAGCCUUAACGAGCCGAACUCUAACGAGCUUUCGAGCUACUCGAUUGACUUAACAGCUCUACUCGUUUUGGAUUUAAAUUUAACACUUAAAUUUUAGAAAGCAAGACGUCAAAGUAAAAAUACUAAAAUCAUAAUUAAGUUGUUACUCUUAAAAUGUUAGAAUCCUGAAAUGCCACAAAAAUUUUGAAAGGAUGGGGCAGUGAGAUGCUUUUAUUUUUCCCCUGUUAACCGCACUAUUGCAUUGCAUUCUCUGAAUUUUUUAAAAACAAGAAGUAUAAUGCACUAAUUUUUUUGAAAGGAAAGGGUAGUAAGAUGCAUAUUCCAUUUUUGGUCGGCAACAGUGACUAUCUUCUUGAGAACAAGAAGAUGGACAAGGGCGGAACACUUUCUCAGUUCUCUACCCGUUGGACCAAGGGUCCAAUAUUUUGGGUGGUAAGAUGAUGCGUAGCUCAACUCGAUUUCAACCCAACCUUAAAUGUGGCGUGUGAAAAUUACAGCCAACAAACAAAGAUGGGACCCUCUAUUUUUCCACUUUUCGUACAACUCCAGUCCACAACACAAUGCCACCCCAUUCUCCACCUCCUGUUUCUUCUCUUCUUCCUCUCUGCUUUGCACCAAACGCCCCCCCAAAAAAAAAA
rnacentral:lncRNA from 1 species